UCGGGAAUUUUGGGCAAUGGGCGCAAGCCUGACCCAGCAACGCCGCGUGAGGGAUGAAAUCCUUCGGGAUGUAAACCUCGUAAGAAUGGGAAGAAUAAGUAGGGGCUAAUACCCCCUAUGAUGACGGUACCAUUUGUAAGCUCCGGCUAACUCCGUGCCAGCAGCCGCGGUAAUACGGGGGGAGCAAGCGUUGUUCGGAUUUACUGGGCGUAAAGGGCGCGUAGGCGGUCAUGACAAGUCACUUGUGAAAUCUCCGGGCUUAACUCGGAACGGUCAAGUGAUACUGUCAGACUAGAGUGCAGAAGGGGCAACUGGAAUUCUCGGUGUAGCGGUGAAAUGCGUAGAUAUCGAGAGGAACACCUGCGGCGAAGGCGGGUUGCUGGGCUGACACUGACGCUGAGGCGCGAAAGCCAGGGGAGCGAACGG
rnacentral:rRNA from 1 species